CCUGUUGCAAGCGGUAGCAUCCCUAUCUCUCCCGCUCCUUCUCUCUAGCUGGGAGGGGCUCCUCCUCUCCUCCUCCUCCUCCUCCUCCUCCUCCUAGCACAGAAGUGAAGUGCAAUGGGCAACUUCAGGGCUCCUGCUCUCUCCCUUCUCAUGGGUUUUGAACCUUCAGACUGAACAGCCCCUCCAAUAGAAGACACCUCCAAAUAGAAGGCUUCUUUCAUGGCCAUCCUAUCUCUGCUGCAGCUGUUCUUUUCCUCUGAGCUUUUUGGGUCAGGAAUUGAAAGGAGUAGAAAGAUGGAGACCUCAGUGCUUCCAAUCUUUCACUUCCUGCUGAAGUUCUUCCUGGAGAAGCAUAGAGGGAAAAGAAUUCAAUUCCCAGGCUGUACCAGGCAGAGAGGAGGGGAGGAAACUUCCUCUUGCUGGCAUGAUUCAAUGUAGCCAACCCUCCACCCUUUUGAGGAAGAGAGGCUGCGGCUGGGAUAAAUCUGCCUUUGAUUGGGAUGCCUUGGUCUUUCCCUGUCUCCUUUCAUUUUCCGAAGAAACCAGGCAGUGCUGCCUGCUACACAGUGUUCCUCCUUCCUGGGUAGUCCAUUCUGAUGUUGUCUUUCUUCUGAGGAUGCUGAGCAAGAAAGGAGAUUGGCACACAGUUGGAAAGAGGAAUUGUAGGUGGCACACGGGGUCAGCUGGAGCUGGAAUUGUUAGCAGACCGCUUUGUGUGCCUGGCUGCAGCAUUAGCUGCACACAAAGCUUAUGUACAUCCCUGCACUGAAAAGCAAGGAGGGAAUACACAGAAGUUAUGUGUAGAGAAUACAAGGGAGACACUCAUUUUGACUGUCCCUAGGCGUACACUGUCAUGUUGGAUAGCACAGCUGGCAGAACAGGGACUGAGGGAGCACCUCCUGAAUUUGCAAGGCUCAAAUGAGUACAUCACUAAUGAUUUAGGUAUUUUUAAGUUUUCCCUCCCCUUCUUCUAGAGCUAAGCCUUACAAGCAACAUACAAAGAAUAUAUGAAAUGAUGGUAUGUAAAGGAGAGCAAGGCAUAUGAAAAACAGCUUUGGAUGAUGCAGUCACUAAUUUUCUUAACAAUAUGGAUCAGUAAAAAAAAAUACAUUUUAAGGUAUCAACCAGAAAUGAUUUCCAGAACUGUGGGGGCAACGACCAAGAAGGCCUUGGCUCUCAUGCUUACCAAUCAAAUCAAUGUUAUAAGUGCAGACACUAGAAAGAUCUCCAGCACCUAACUUAUCUCUUGUAUGGGCAGGCCGACACAUAUAAAGGCAUAUAUACCCGGGCGUUACUGAAUGAAACAUGGCCUAUAAUCUUGAGUCCAUCACUUGUUCCAUGCAUAUGUGACUCAAUGUUCCCCAGCAUCAGAUUCCCUACAAGGCUGAAUAAUAGCAGUUAGCAUUUAUAAACCACAUUUCUGUGUUCCAGACACUCAUCCCUGUAUUGAUAGUCCUUCCAAACAACCCUGUAAGGUUUGCCAGUAUUAUUAUCUUAAUUUUGUGGAUGAAGAAACAGGCUAAUAGAAAAGUCACUCAGAUACAACACUGGCUGUGGUUACAUUUCAGUCAGAGGCACCCCAUUGCACACUUACCAAAGGAUUCAACUGCAUUCCUGUUACUGCACGAUAAUGGUAAUUCAUUUGCUGUGUCAGCAGAGAUCAUAGCAGAACAGGAAGAAACUAAAGUGGAUUAGCAGCUCUGUGUCAUUCAUACCAACCUGGUUUGCAUGCCGGGUUGUGGGUUAAAUAACUCAAAAUAAGCCAAGAUGUCAUUUUUGAACAGGUAAUUCCUGAUAGGAAUGAUUAUGAGCUGGCUGUGUUGUACAAAUUUGACCACCAUGGGCUGUGAGUUCAACAGGGUGAGAGAACAGCUUUGGAUCAUACAGCUGACACACCCACUGGUUGACCCAUCAUGGUUCUAUGUGUUUCCAAGGCUGAGCAUCUUUUAGGAGCACGAUGAAACCUGCCUUCUGUGGCUGGCCUUCAGGGCUAGCUGGUAGAGAACAUUUCAGCCAUACUUUUAUUUGAUUCACUUUUUUUCCCCUUAGGUAGGCUUGGAGGUGAAGGUGAUUCUGCUACCUGGUCUAAGCCUUUGGAAUGGUGCCAGGUAUAAAUCCACAGAUAUUUCAAGCAAGAACUUAUCAGUUGAUCUGGCAGAUUCAUUAAUUAACUAUCUUGAGCUGGUUUAUUGGUGACUAAUCAGCACAUGAAUUGGGAACACAUCUAUGUGUACAGUUUUAAGAAUAUCUAAUUCUGGUGCAUUAUUGUAAUACAACAUUUUUAACAGAA